rnacentral:misc_RNA from 1 species
CAUACAGGGGGCCUCGUGGGUUAAUGAAAAAUUAACUACGGGGCUUUCUGCCUUCUGCCACACAACACGGUAACAAACCACCUUCACGUCAUGAG